AGAAUAGGGACUAAAAGUAGAAACAAAUGAAAACCCCCACUGACUAAUAGUCCUUGUGUUCCCCAAUAUGAUUUUUUUCCAAGACAGAGUCCCCUUAUGUAGCUCUGCCCAUCCUGUAACUCCCUCUGUAGACCAGGCUGGCCUUGAACUAACAGAGAUCCACUUGCCUCUGCCUCCCAAUAAGAAGGUUGCAGAGAAGUCUAUAGAAUAUUGAGGCUAAGCAGUCAUAAAGGUGGAAGUAGAACUUGGAGAAUGAUGUCAUGAAAACCAAGGAGGCAGAGAGAAUUUUAAGAGAAGGGGGGUAGGUCUGCCAAGAGAUAACUGAAGGAAUCCUGAGACAGCAAUUCAAGUGAAUGCACUGGUUCUUGACAAAGCAGCUGGCUGGACAGCAUUUCACAAUGCCGAAGGUAAGACUGACUCGAGACUUGGUUUGCUCACUAACGAAAUUCAAGAACUCUGUCCACCAUACAGAUCUGACAACCUGAAUCAAAUGCAUUCUGUACCUGAGAAAGAUUAUGGCCAAUUACAGAAGGGAACGGCAAAGAGGAGAAGAGUCUUCAAAUGCCUUUGGAGAACUGGUUCACCAAAUUAGUAAAUUCUGGUAUUUCACACUGCAUACAUGUAUAUUACGCAUUCUGCUCAGAUUAAUAGUAAAUAAUUUAUAAUUA